AUUGAACGCUGGCGGCAGGCCUAACACAUGCAAGUCGAGCGGAGCGGCGGACGGGUGAGUAAUGCCUAGGAAUCUGCCUGGUAGUGGGGGAUAACGACCGGAAACGGGCGCUAAUACCGCAUCCUAUCAGAUGAGACGAGGUCGGAUUAGUUAGGUGGUGGGUUAAAGGCCUACACAGGCGAGGAUCCGUAACUGGUCUGAGAGGAUGAUCAGUCACACUGGAACUGAGACACGGCCCAGACUCCUACGGGAGGCAGCGUUGGGGAAUAUUGGACAAUGUUCGAAAGCCUGAUCCAGCCAUGCCGCGUGUGUGAAGAAGGUCUUCGGAUUGUAAAGCACUUUAAGUUGGGAGGCGUUACCAACAGAAUAAGCACCGGCUAACUUCGUGCCAGCAGCCGCGGUAAUAC
rnacentral:rRNA from 1 species